ACAAAUUGCAUUGCUAUUUGUUUUAAUUUUCGCUAACAUUAAAAGCUCAUCCCCACAAAUUUGUAUCCAUAGAAAAGAACAGAGAAACAUUAAAUUUGAUGAAUAGAAAAAUUCAAAUAAGUGGAUGACUAUCAUUAUCGUCUCUGGAAAUUUCGACAUCAGUAGUACUAAUAAUUUAGAAGUGAUGUAUAUAGUCCCAAUUAAG
rnacentral:lncRNA from 1 species